rnacentral:rRNA from 1 species
GAAUAUUGGACAAUGGGGGAAACCCUUAUCCAGCGACGCCGCGUGAGGGAAGAAGGUUUUCGGAUUGUAAACCUCUGUCAGUGGGGAGGAUAAUGACGGUACCCACGGAGGAAGCCACGGCUAACUAGGUGCCAGCAGCCGCGGGAAUACGUAGGUGGCAAGCGUUGUCCGGAAUUACUGGGUGUAAAGGGAGCGUAGGCGGGAUGUCAAGUCAGAAGUGAAAAUUAUGGGCUCAACUCAUAACCUGCUUUUGAAACUGAUAUUCUUGAGUGAAGUAGAGGCAAGCGGAAUUCCUAGUGUAGCGGUGAAAUGCGUAGAUAUUAGGAGGAACACCAGUGGCGAAGGCGGCUUGCUGGGCUUUUACUGACGCUGAGGCUCGAAAGCGUGGGGAGCAAACAG